rnacentral:rRNA from 1 species
UACAGAGGGGGCAAGCGUUAUUCGGAAUUAUUGGCGUAAAGGGCGCGUAGGCGGCUUGGCAAGUGGAAGGUGAAAUCCCUCGGCUCAACUGAGGAACUGCCUUCCAAACUGCUUUGCUUGAGUCCGGGAGAGGCGAGUGGAAUUCCCAGUGUAGCGGUGAAAUGCGUAGAUAUUGGGAGGAACACCAGUGGCGAAGGCGGCAUCCUGGACCGAGAUUGACGCUGAUGCGCGAAAGCCAGGGGAGCAAACGGGG